GAUGACAGCAUAUCUCUUUAAAACGUGCCAGUAUAGGCCCUGACUGCACGCGAGAACAUUUGAAUUAUCUGGCACGAGGCCUCACACGUCAUACUUCAACUGACACAACGGUCUCGAUGGGGUUUCUGUUCCUGCAGUCUUUCAGCGGUGCUGGCGCGUAUGACGAUGCGGACAUGAACAGCACACUACAGUAUACCGCCACCUACUGUACUGUAGUACAAUAACGUCCUUUAAACAUCUAAACAUGUCCUCCAAAAAGGUUUCCUGUGCUGUUUUGCUCCAUUUUACUGAACAAAAUAAGGCUGAGGUAGCACCAUCCUUGUGGUUAGAGUGAAAGAACGUGUGUAUUGAGACCAAAAUAAACAAUGUGCCAUUCUGGACAAACAGCUGUGGACAAUAUAUGCAGUCAGAGUAGCCUAUUUUCUCACACAGACCUGAAGAUAAGAUUUCCAGUUUAAAAGUGAAGAAAAUGAAUCAUUAUUAACAGCAAUUAGGAGUAUUUCUCAGCUGAAAAGCCAGUUUAUGCACAAUCACAAAUGCAGCACAUCAAUCAAUUUCUUCCAACCAGCGAAUCAAGAAAUCUUGGAGUGGAGAAUCAUUCUGAAAGUAGACCAAAUCCAGGACAACAUCACAGCAGUGGUCGGAAAAAUGCAGCAAGCCAAGCUGACUUUCAAAAGAUGAUUCGUUAUCUGUUUCUUCAGAGGGGAGGCAGUUUGGGAGAUGGGAAUUAGGAGGAUGCUACAGUUACACAGGGCGAAUUUCAGCAGCUCAGUUUCAAACUUGCAACUAACAAUGAAUUAUAAUGUGUAUGUUCACUUUGUAGCUGGUCAGGGUGGAAGACCAUCUGACGUACCAGUUUUGCCAGGUUGAAGAACCAGCUUAAACCAGCUAAGACAGCCAACCAACUUAGCCAAGGUGGUAUAUGCUGGUGGGUCAGCUGGUCUUCCCGCCUGACCAGCUACAAAGUGGCCAAAACCUCUGUAAAACAAUCCUGCUACACCAGCCUGACCAGCUGAAACCAUACUGGGAGUAUUCAUAUUCAUAUCGAUUUGCAUUUACACAUAAAAUAGGUAACAUACAGUACUGUGCAAAAGUCUUAGGCCACCAUCUCCAGCUUUGUUGUUUUAGCAAAAAUUUAAUGUCCAUCCAUAUUUAUUUUUCACUCUUUUUAUUAAGAUACAAACAGAAAAUACAGGAAAUAUGUACACAAAAUUAAAAACAAAACAAUUUUCAGAACUAAAUGUCGUCUUCAGACAUCAGUCAGUAUUUAGUGUGAAUUCUUUUGGCACAAAACACAUCUUGAGCUUUUUUGAGGAGACUGAAGUCAUUCGAUUAGAAUUAGAAAGGAUUUAAUUGUAUUUAUGUGUAAGAGAUCCUGCAGUUGCCUGCUAUUGCUCAAGUUGAAAGGGAGUUUACCCUAAAUAAUUGAAACUUCAGCUUAAACUUUUAUACUGUUUUUAAUACUACAUACACAUUUCCUGUAUUUUCUGGUUGUAUUCUAAUAAAGAGACUGAGAAAUAAAUAUAUGAUCACUACACAACUGCAAAAACAACUAAUCUAAUGGUAGCAUGCAGACUUUUGCACAGUACUGUAUGUCCACAUUUAGCCACCUUUACUUUGAGUGAACUGUAACAGCAACUAUAAUGCCAUAAACAUUAAAUACUAAGGUAAAAGAGAGUUGUGGAUGCUUUCUAGUUUUAGCAAAGAA